rnacentral:rRNA from 1 species
GCCUAAAGCGUCCGUAGCCUGAUCUAUAAGUUUCCGGUUAAAUCCACAUGCUCAACAUUUGGGCUGCCGGAAAAACUGUAGAUCUAGGGAGUGGGAGAGGUAGACGGUACUCGAUAGGAAGGGGUAAAAUCCUUUGAUCUAUUGAUGACCACCAGUGGCGAAGGCGGUCUACCAGAACACGUUCGACGGUGAGGGAUGAAAGCUGGGGGAGCAAACCGGAUUAGAUACCCGGGUAGUCCCAGCUGUAAACGAUGCAGACUCGGUGAUGCAUUGGCUUGUGGCCAGUGCAGUGCCGCAGGGAAGCCGUUAAGUUUGCCGCCUGGGAAGUACGUACGCAAGUAUGAAACUUAAAGGAAUUGGCGGGGGAGCACCACAAGGGGUGAAGCCUGCGGUUCAAUUGGAGUCAACGCCAGAAAUCUUACCCGGAGAGACAGCAGAAUGAAGGUCAAGCUGAAGACUUUACCAGACAAGCUGAGAGGUGGUGCAUGGCCGUCGCCAGCUCGUGCCGUGAGAUGUCCUGUUAAGUCAGGUAACGAGCGAGACCCUUGCCUCUAGUUGCCACCAUUGCUCUCUGGAGCAGUGGGGCGAAUUAGCGGGACCGCCGCAGUUAAUGCGGAGGAAGGAAAGGGCUACGGCAGGUCAGUAUGCCCCGAA